UACGUAGGGUGCAAGCGUUAAUCGGAAUUACUGGGCGUAAAGCGUGCGCAGGCGGCUUUGCAAGUCAGAUGUGAAAGCCCCGGGCUCAACCUGGGAACUGCAUUUGAAACUGGCGGGCUUGAGUAUGGCAGAGGGGGGGUGGAAUUCCGCGUGUAGCAGUGAAAUGCGUAGAGAUGCGGAGGAACACCGAUGGCGAAGGCAGCCCCCUGGGCCAAUACUGACGCUCAGGCACGAAAGCGUGGGGAGCAAACAGG
rnacentral:rRNA from 1 species